CUUAAUAUGGCCGCAAUAAGAACUAUCCUUAAUAUGGCCACAUUAAGGACAGCUUCCUUGAUGUGGCCAUAUUAAGAAGUGUCCUUAAUGUGGCCAUACUAAGGACAUUCAUUAAUAUGGCCA